UAACAAUAUAUUAUAAUAAUAAUAACCAAGAAAACAAUCAUGAUCAAGUGUUAAUGAAAAUAAAAUGAGUGAGAGCCCUGCUUGGCAACUCCUGAUCCAGAUGACUGUGGACUCUAUGAGUGGAUUGACGCAAACAGACAGAGACUCUUCUCUUUACUAUGUUUUUAUGUCACUGAUGACGUCAUCUAAAGUCACACUUCAGCGUGACGGUCACUGCACAGCAAUGUUACCGCUAAUAAUGAAAAAAAUUAAAUCUGUUGGAACUCACAUUCAUCAGUUUUUAUGUUGUGUUGUUGUUGUUUUUUAAAAAAGAUCAUCUUCUUAUUAUAUUGAAGACAAAAACAAUACAUUAACACUAUAAAUUAGACACAUGCAGUUUAGGAGUCAUGUUGACAUUAAACACCAGGACAUGAUUUCUCCACAGCUGCUACUCUCUGAGUAAGUCAGAGAGUAAGUCAGAGUGGACUCUAUCCUCUGACCUGUGUGGGGAAAACACUUCAUUUAUGUUCCGGUUAUCUGUGAUCCAGACCACUGUAAUGAGGAAGAGGGUCAUCAGCUGUGGAAGGUGAACUCGGUGUCAUACUGGGACACCUGCUGUCUUUUGGAAUUGAUUAUAAAGAUAAUGUUUAGUCCACUCCCAGUGUGUCUUCAGAGUUGUCUCAAGGUGUAGAGCGGCGUCUCCGUGGCUUCAUCAAUAUUGUACUGCAUAUGUACUAGACGAGCACUACUUCACUGGAGACACGUUCCCAAGGUGACCUGAAGAUGAGCGUGCUUAUGUGGUGCAUGUUGAUCCUUCUCCUCUGUCCGCACAGUGAAGAGAUGGUUGUGAUUAAAACAAGACCAGAAAGCUCUGCCUUUCUUAGAUGGCGAACAUAUCGGCUGGAAAAAGGACAAAACAUCAUCCAAACCCUCAAACGGCAUGCAGAUGGGACGUUCACCAGUGACUUUACCCACUAUCUCGAUAAGAUUAAGGCUAAAGAUUUUGUCGAUUGGCUGGCCAGGAAAAAGGAGGGAUGUGAGGAAGACCUACACCACACUGCAGAAGUAUGACAGUCUCUAUCACAUGUGUGUUUGUGUGUAUCGUCCAGAAACACGAGUCAUCUGCACUAACACUGAAAGAAAACAUUGGUCCGUUAAAAGGGUCCAAUUUGUAAUUGCUGCAGAAAAGUCAAGAAAACAAAUCAAAAUGUUCAACUUCUAAUCCCAACUCUCUUAUUACUUUCAAAUGUCAGAGUUAUUUUUACAGGUGUACUGUUUCUGUAAAUGUCUUUUAUUUACAUUUCAGAGAAAGAAAAUGCACAGUCAUGUUCAGGUUUUUUGCACUGAAUAUAUUUCUGUUAAAUGAAUAAACAAA